UUCGUUUUGGUUCUCUCGCUCCAGUCCACCUCCUCUCCCACCCUUGAGCCCGCUGCCCCCGACCCCUCCGACGGCGCCGCCGACCCCUCCUGCCUCCCCGACCGCCUCUUCUGCUCCCUCAAGCUGGCCCUCUCCCUCCCCUCCCGCCGGUUUGUCACCGAGUCGGUCGCCGCCUCGGUCCUGCUCCUUCGUCGGCACCCAUGAAUACGUCGCCCACGAGGUCGCCAUCGGCCGCUUCUACGGCAGCACCGUCGAUUGAUGGGCCUACAACAUCCUUCUCUACGAGUUUUUCUAUGGCCGGACCCCCUUCGUUGGGCCCAGCAACAAGACCACCCUCCACAACAUCGUCAAGCAACCCCUCGCCUUCCCCCCGGCUGGCGGCCCGGCCAACUCCGCCGCUCGGGACCUCAUCUCUGGUCUGCUCAUCACGGACCCAGUCUCCUGAUUCGGUUCGAUACGCAGAGCCGCCGACGUCAAGGCCUACCCCUUCUUUAAAGGCUUGAAUAGUUGAACCUAGCUCUCCUUCGCUCUUACCGCCCCCGAUCAUCCCCCCACUCUCCGGAUCGGAUCGAAGACUAAGAGGUAUGAAAGUAUGAAACCCUAACUCUAGAUCUACGCUUUUCGCUCCUACAUUUCACCUUGUUCCGCAUUUUUGUUUGAUUUCCCGUCAAAUCUCGAUGAGAGAGUCCUAGAAGUGUGGAUUUGUUAGGGUUUCUGUUUCGAACGCGACCUGUUGCGGGUGAUUCCCGCUUUUUGGAUGCUACUUUCCCCCAAUCUAGCAUUCUCUUGAAGCAUUUGAAGUGGAUUGUUGUUUUGAUGGUGGAUUUUGGAUUCUUGCCUCUUGAUUUUGGUCUUCUUUGCCUCUAUAAAAAAUUAAGAAUAGAUCUGAAAAGGGGCCGGUUGUAUAAUGAUUUUCCUUCUCUUUUUUUCUUUUUUUUUUGGCAUGACCUGAUGGAUGUAAUACUAUUGUUGGUUAUAUGUUUACUGGAUUAUGCUUGUAAUUUUGGAUGCUAUCAGCCAAAUAAGAGGCAGCAAUCCUGAACAAGUUGGGCAAACAUGUUAAACAGAUCGGAUCGGGUUGGGCAAAAAGAUUAAACAGGUCGAGUCAGGAUGAGUUGGGCUAAAUAGGUUAAAUAGAUCAGAUCAGAUUGGGCAAACAAGUUACCUGUUUAUUAAACAAGUUAAAUGGGUCGGAUCACAUUACCUGCUUAUUAAACAUGAUAGGUUCAUAUUGUAAUUUCUGACAUGUUUAAUAAACAGGUCGGGUUCAGGUUUAUGAUUUUCUAACCCGAUCCGUUUAUAUCUGACCUGACCCAAUUGCCACCCCUACUUAUAUAUGUUGAAAAAAUAUUGUCUAAAAAUUGUUAAAUUUUUAGAUUUUAUUUUAGUAAAUUAUUUUUUAUAAUACUUAUAUAAAAUAAAGAUACUAGAAGAACAUGAAUAUUAUAGUAGGCUUUGGUCGGCGUAUUUUUGCAGUUUAAUACGUCUUGAUUCAGGCAAUACUUUUCCAACAGUCUAAGAACGUGAAAUGCCAAUAAAAUUCAAAAAAAAAAAUCCAAUCCAAUUACUCUCUCACUAGUACUCUGUCUUCCAAGAUUUUCUUCUAUAGACAGAGUUCUUUUAUUUUUCUAUUUUUUGCUUUCUAUUUUUAUUAUUUUCUGGGCAACUGAAGGAGUCGAUUGGAUCAAGCUUUUCCAGUAAUCAUGCUCGUUAAAGGAGAAGAUUGGGGCUAAACCGAGUUAUUGUAUCUUGGGGACGAGAUUGCCGCAAACCUGCACUGCUGCACAUAAGGAGCAAAUCAUAUUCUGCGGUGUAUAUCAUACGUCUCGAUCGAGACAAGCUCUAUUUAAUUUUUUAAUUUUAUUUUAAUAAAUUAUUUUUUCAUAAUAUUUUUAUAAAAUAAAGAUAUAGCAAUUUUUAGGCACCAUUUCUCUAAUGGUGAGAUAAAAUAUUUUCAAAAAAUUUGUUUGGUUUAAUUUAAAUUUUGUUUGGGUGUCUCUAAGGCUUAAAGGUUGACGAUUUACUAGCACAUCUCAACAAAAAAAAAAAAAAAACAAUACUUGUAGAUGGAAGGAAGUGUUCACCAGGAGCAGUGGGGAACAGUGAUCCUAAUUGGCAACAAAGGUGUCCCAUGUUCUGCUUCUCAGCCCAUGUCAUGGUAAAACUCUGUGCGCCUCCACAACUAUGAUGCAGCUCGAGUUGCUUAUCUUCACGAGUCCUAUCACUCUUUUUAUACCAAAAUCGAUAGCUUCAAAUCGACAGGUUUGACGAGGGAGCUAAGAAGUACGGGGAUCAUGAUUGCCUAGUAUAAAUGGCUGGCUAGAAAUGAGCAUGUCUUCCACAACUAUGAAAAGCCAUGAAUUGAUCUGCCUAAAAGCCUCUAUCUAAGCCCCUAAGAGACCUUUGAUGACUAUGGCUCUCUCCGUAUAGAUUCCGUCGCUCCUCAGGUGAUUUUUUUUCUUUUAAGAACCACCACCCCUUUGCUCCCUCAAACUUAAUUUUUUGACGGCACUAAGAUAUGAUACUGGACAUUAUUGCGGCGCUGUCUUCGUCAUUAGGACCCACAGCGGCUCCCUUCUUGCACCAAGUGGUAUCCGAGUGUUUUGACACUGCCGAUCCCAAUGGCUAAAUUACGUGGGGCAUGGAAAAGAUUUCUACGUACUGUGAAGUGAUUAGGAGCAUCCAAAGUGGUGUUCGAGGGGGGAUUCAAAGACAUCUAUGAGGCAGCAAUUCGCACUUUUUGAUCUUGGAUUAUCGACUACUCUUACGCUUCUUUUGAGGUGGCACACAUGUAGAGAAGCAAAUAGUGUGUGGCCAUCUGUAUGGGACUCUGCUGCUCUUAUUCCUCUCUAGCUUCAGGAUCUUCUGUCUUCUGACUCUCAUAUGCAUACGAGGACCGUAUGAUAUAUCUGUUCCAGAAUUUAUCGAAGUUGGUCAUGUUCUCUUGACGAUUGUAGAAGGGACCUGAGUGUUCAUACCUUGCCGUAGCCAAAAUUCAAGAACUCAGAAAUGGAAUUGGCAAAUUUCAGGUGUCAAGUCGCACCACACAGUUCAGAAGUCAUCACGGAGGCAUGCUACACACGCUCAUGCUCUAACGUACCGAAGUUCUGCAAGGUCAAGUUGGCUAAAGUGCUCAACACAACAAGAUUAUGUCCAAAUGUUCAUGAAUCCUAUGAUUUCUCCGUAAGGAAAUAUGUAAGUUCUAUAUUCAUCUUUUGUGAAGCUGAAAGAUAUUGAUCACUUGGGAAUUCUAUCUUAUGUUCAAGUUUUUUAUUUAUUUUUUUGUGAAAUUUUACAAGAUAAGUUGAAUACAUCAAUAUAUUAACAGUUAAUGGUAACUAACAAGCGACAUAUGUUGCUUAGUAAACAGGUACUUAUUUAUAUUCGGUUCGGCAAAGAUGUUGUAUAAUCUC